UACGUAGGGGGCUAGCGUUGUCCGGAAUCAUUGGGCGUAAAGCGCGUGUAGGCGGCCCGGUAAGUCCGCUGUGAAAGUCGGGGGCUCAACCCUCGGAUGCCGGUGGAUACUGUCGGGCUAGAGUACGGAAGAGGCGAGUGGAAUUCCUGGUGUAGCGGUGAAAUGCGCAGAUAUCAGGAGGAACACCAAUUGCGAAGGCAGCUCGCUGGGACGUUACUGACGCUGAGACGCGAAAGCGUGGGGAGCAAACAGG
rnacentral:rRNA from 1 species